rnacentral:lncRNA from 10 species
GUCAGCUACAUCUCGAGGGAGUGGGGUGGAGUGCGGGCGCUUGCUCUAGUCGAGCCCUGACAUCGAUUCUGCGGGGGCGGGGAGGAGUCGGCGCGGGGCUGGGGCUGGGAGGGGAGUUUAUUUAUUAGCCAGAUUAGCCAGCAUUAAUGGGGGAGCGGUGGCGGCCGGCGGCAGCAGGGACAUAGCUGGCAUAGCUGGCAUAGCGGCGGGGCCUCCUGCGGCGCGGGGCUCCGCGGCUUCAAAGGGGCUUAAAGAGGCCCUUGGUGGCACUGCCACGGCCCCGCGGGGGAGGGCGUGGGCGCGGGCGGCGGGGGAGAAGGCGGCCAUUGUGCACCGAGGGAUUAGGGCUCUGGCCUGGAAGGAAUUUUAAACUGCCGCGAGCCGGAGCCCCAGGACUCUCCUCCUGCCCCACCCCUGCCCUCCGGAGCACGCUGAGCCCUUGAGGCAUUGAAAUCUCUAAUCCAUGUCUGGAAACAGAUUGAUGGUUCCCGAAAGUCCAGUGGAAACACUCUGUCUUCCUGCUUUGAGGACAGCUGAAGUCUUGCCACUUCUUCUGGAUGCUCUGACCAUCAGUAAGAGACACGGUCUGACUUUGUUACCCCGGCUGGAGUGCAGUGGUGCAAUCAUGGCUCACUGCAGCCUUAACCUCCUGGGCUCAAGUGAUCCUCUCGCCAAGGCUAGGAUAAGUAGCUAGGACUACAGAUGCGCCCCAUCACGCCCAGCUAAUUUUACAACUUCUGUAGAGAUGGAGUGUUGCUGGGUUGCCCAGGCUGGUCUUGAAUUCCUGGGCUCAAGCGAUCCUCCUGUGUCCGGAAUUGGUGGGUUCUUGGUCUCACUGACUUCAAGAAUGAAGCCGCGGACCCUCGCGAGUCUGUAUCCACCAGCUACUCUUCCAGAUUCAUGAGGCAAGGCCUGCCUGCUCACCUGGCUGGCCCCAAGCACCUCUUCAACCUGUUGCCACCGUCCUGCCUUGCUGCCCUUCUCAGCUCAUCCAGCAGGGUCUCCAAGUCGUGGAAACAGAAGCACAUAUACACACAUGCUCAUAUGUACAUGCCCACAGUCACAUAAGCACACCGAGAAACACCAUCGCAGACAUGUUCUCACAAGCACAUGUGCAUAACACUCACUACCCCUCACGCGUAUACACAUUAAUACACACACUCAUGCACACUCAGUCUUACACACACAGACACACAGCCAUAAUCACUGUUGUUGGUUGAAUUGUGCCCCCCCAUCCCCACCAAAAAGAUAAGUUGGAGUCCUAACCCCCAGUACCUGGGGAUGUGACCGUAGUUGGAAAUAGGGUGUUUGUAGAUGUAAUCAAAUUAAGAUGAGAUCUUACUGGAUUAGAGUGGGCCUUAAAUCCAGUGACUGGUGUCCUUAUAAGGAGAAAAAGAUUUGAAAACAGAGACAUGGAGACACAGAGCAGAAGGCCAUGUGAUGAUGGAGUCAGAGAUUGGAGUGAUGCAGCUAUGAGCCGAGAAAUACCAAGGUGCUGGCAGCCCCCAGAAGCAAGGAGAGAGGCAAGGAACAAUCUCCAUCAGAGCCUCUGGAAGAAACAGACUCUGCCAACACCUUGAUUUCAGACUUUUGGCCUCCUUCACUGUGCGAGAAUACGUUUCUGUUGUUUUAAACUACUGAGUCACCAAGUCUGUGGUACUGUGUUAUGGCAGCCCCGGCAACAAAUCCAAUCACACACACACACACACACACACACACACACACACACACACACACACACACAGCUGGCUCCAGGCUCAGUGAUGAGCUCAGAGGAGUUCCCCUUGGGAGCUGCUCUUUCUCUGUCUUCCUUCCUUAGUGAUUGGUCCAGUGGAUCCACAAAAGCUCAUGGCCCAGAGCAGGAGCCCAGUCAUUUUUAAUUCCUCUUCCCUGGAGUUCUUAACCAUGCGUUGCCCUCAAAAUCUGCUCUCAAGAUUUGGGUUGCCAUAUUUAGGAGCACCAGAAAACAUACAGGAAUGCUGUGUCUGCUUGCAUCAUAUUAAUUAAAAACUGGAAAUAACCUAAAUGUCCCAGAAUAGGUACAUAAACUGUGGCAUAUCCACUUAAUGGAAUACUACUCAGCAAUACAAAAGGAAAACCUAGUGUUACUUGAGCAACAUGGAUGAACUUCACAGACAUAAUAUUGCACAGCACGAGGCAGACACAAAAGUGUGCAUAUGCUAUGAUUCCAUUUACAUGAGAUUCAAGAACAGGCAAAGCAGAUCUAUGGGGAUAGAAGUCAGAAUAGUGGUUACCUCUGGAAGGUGGAAUUGACUGGGAGGGGCUUCAGGGAACCUCCUGGGGUGCUGAAAACAUUCUGUGCUUGCACCGGGUGGUGGUUAUGUGGGCAUUACAUAAAAUUCACCAAGCUGCACCCUUAAUGAUUUGUACAAUUUGAUGCACAAAUCUAACAUCUCAAGAAGAAUAAAUUUUACAAAGUACCUAAGAAGCAAAUGACCAGAA